UUUUAAGGGUCGUGGGAGAUGACCACGUUGAUAGGUUACAGGUGUAAAGGUGGUAACAUCAUAGCCGAGUAAUACUAAUCACCCGUAGACUUUUCGCG
rnacentral:rRNA from 1 species